GAACUCAUUUUCCAGUUACUCUUUCUCUCUCUAAACUCAGUUAUAUUCUCCUUUUCUUGCUCUGACUUCUCUCUAUUUUUCCACCACUUUCCACCGUUGAAAUUUCAAAUAGGUAGUGUGCUCUCGUUCACGGAGUUGAGAGUUUCCCUUUCAUCCGAUUGAAAUUCUGAUUUGGACGGAAAGUAUAUGAUUACAAAGUGAUGAAAGUAUGAUCCAAGUUGUAAAUCAAGUUCCAUCUGUGUAGGAUCUCUUGGUGAGAUCCUUAGUGUAGAAUGAUUGUAUGGUAGCUCAGUCUUGGGGGUUUUCCUGACGCUCCAAUGGUCUUUCAUUCUCAAGUAGAGAUGAUUGAUCCAUGUGGUGAGGAGUAGCAGGAGGUCCUAGUCUUGGAGGCUUCCAGUAUGCUCCAGGGCGCGGAACGGGUUAACCUCGUGAGUGUGGUAGGGUGGAACCCAUUGGCAACGGCUUUGCAAAGCAGUAGAGGCCACCAUGAGUGCAUAACCCGCCAUAGCUCGGCAAUCAUUAUGGUCCGGACGAGUCGGUCUCUAAAGCAAUGGGUCAUUGUGAUGUCAAUGUACUAUGUUUGAGUGACUUUUGCAUGUCGUGUGUGAUUGAAUAACAUGAUUUUUAUAUCUAGCUCACCCUUGCUUGUUCGUAUUGUUUGUGUAUGUUUUCCUUUUGCGAUGAUCAUCCACUUGGAUGGGAGCAGAUGGCGAGAAGGUUCCUUUGGAGACAGCUUUGGAAGCCAAGGACGAUGUUGCUGCCUAGUCUCCUAAAAUGUUAUUAGUUUGAUUGCUUAUUCUGAAAUACUAAUUCCCAUUUCAGCUUAUAUUUUAUCUCUUUUUGGAGUUUAAGCUUAUAUUCUGAAGUUACUUAGAGGAUGACUGUAAUCCUAUUUACUCUCAACUGCUUUCCUAUAUUAUGCAUGUGGACGUCUUUAUUAUAUAUGCUCUCUAUAUAAUUGGGAUGUCACAAA